GAUGAUUUCUGUUUAGGAAUAAAGUGAUAAAGCAUUUUUUCCUUGUGUUAUUUCCAGUUGGAAAUACCACAAGGAAGCAUGUUUCUCAUUAUAUUUCCUAUUUGUUCAAGUGUAUUCCUAUGCCAAGGGAACAGCUGAAUCAAAAGACAGGCAAUGCCCCAGAGUUUUGAUGCAAGCAAAUGGCAAGUUUUGAACAACAUUCUGUUCUCUUUGCCCCAAAGUGAAAAGAAAUCCUACAAGCCAGAUUUUUCCACAGGACAGAAUAAUACUUACCUCACAUGGAGUAAAUUACGUACUUGCCAUCACACAAUACAUCAGUGGCAAAGACAAGGAUAGAACCCUGUACUGCAGACUUGUGCUUUAAACAGUAGACUGCAUCUUCAUGGGGAAAGGGAUCUGAGAUACCAAGCACUCAUGUAGAGUAGCCUUUCCCAGCAGCAGUCUCAUUUUUCUACAGCAACGUGAGCAGAGCAGGGAGCUCUCUAGGAUUCCUCCAGCUUUAUAUCUUAUCUCUUCCCCUUUCGUAUCGUGUUCAAACUGCACAGUCCCAGCUCAGUCCAAUUCCUGGCCAGCUUAAUGAUGAGCUUCAAAAUUAAGCUUACCUUUCUGAGUAGUUCCG
rnacentral:lncRNA from 1 species